GACGAACGCUGGCGGCGUGCUUAACACAUGCAAGUCGAACGGAAAGGCCCUGCUUUUGUGGGGUGCUCGAGUGGCGAACGGGUGAGUAACACGUGAGUAACCUGCCCUUGACUUUGGGAUAACUUCAGGAAACUGGGGCUAAUACCGGAUAGGAGCUCCUGCUGCAUGGUGGGGGUUGGAAAGUUUCGGCGGUUGGGGAUGGACUCGCGGCUUAUCAGCUUGUUGGUGGGGUAGUGGCUUACCAAGGCUUUGACGGGUAGCCGGCCUGAGAGGGUGACCGGCCACAUUGGGACUGAGCUACGGCCCAGACUCCUACGGGAGGCAGCAGUGGGGAAUAUUGCACAAUGGGCGGAAGCCUGAUGCAGCAACGCCGCGUGCGGGAUGACGUCCUUCGGGUUGUAAACCGCUUUCGCCUGUGACGAAGCGUGAGUGACGGUAAUGGGUAAAGAAGCACCGGCUAACUACGUG
rnacentral:rRNA from 1 species